rnacentral:rRNA from 1 species
CAUGCAGGCGGUUACAUAAGUCAGAUGUGAAAUCCCCGCGCUUAACGUGGGCAUUGCAUUUGAAACUAUGUAGCUAGAGUUCUGUAGAGGGGGGUAGAAUUCCAGGUGUAGCGGUGAAAUGCGUAGAGAUCUGGAGGAAUACCGAUUGCGAAGGCAGCCCCCUGGACAGUGACUGACGCUCAUGCACGAAAGCGUGGGGAGCAAACAGGAUUAGAUACCCUAGUA